AUUGAACGCUGGCGGCAGGCCUAACACAUGCAAGUCGAGCGGAAGAAGGGAGCUUGCUCCUGGAUUCAGCGGCGGACGGGUGAGUAAUGCCUAGGAAUCUGCCUGGCUGUGGGGGAUAACGUCCGGAAACGGGCGCUAAUACCGCAUACGUCCUGAGGGAGAAAGUGGGGGAUCUUCGGACCUUACGCUAUCAGAUGAGCCUAGGUCGGAUUAGCUAGUUGGUGGGGUAAAGGCCUACCAAGGCGACGAUCCGUAACUGGUCUGAGAGGAUGAUCAGUCACACUGGAACUGAGACACGGUCCAGACUCCUACGGGAGGCAGCAGUGGGGAAUAUUGGACAAUGGGCGAAAGCCUGAUCCAGCCAUGCCGCGUGUGUGAAGAAGGUCUUCGGAUUGUAAAGCACUUUAAGUUGGGAGGAAGGGCAGUAAGUUAAUACCUUGCUGUUUUGACGUUACCAACAGAAUAAGCACCGGCUAACUUCGUG
rnacentral:rRNA from 1 species